rnacentral:rRNA from 1 species
CGGACGGGUGAGUAACACGUGGAUAACCUACCUAUAAGACUUGGAUAACUUCGGGAAACCGGAGCUAAUACCGGAUAAUAUAUUGAACCGCAUGGUUCAAUAGUGAAAGACGGUUUUGCUGUCACUUAUAGAUGGAUCCGCGCCGCAUUAGCUAGUUGGUAAGGUAACGGCUUACCAAGGCAACGAUGCGUAGCCGACCUGAGAGGGUGAUCGGCCACACUGGAACUGAGACACGGUCCAGACUCCUACGGGAGGCAGCAGCC